rnacentral:rRNA from 1 species
AGAGUUUGAUCCUGGCUCAGAUUGAAACGCUGGCGGCAUGCGUAACACAUGCAAGUCGAACGGUGUUUGGUGCUUGCACCAGACAUAGUGGCGGACGGGUGAGUAAUGCGUAGGAAUCUGUCUUAGAGAGGGGGACAACCCGAGGAAACUUGGGCUAAAACCGCAUAUUCUCGAGAGAGGAAAGCAGGGGACCGGGAAACGGCCUUGUGCUCUAAGGUGAGCCUACGUCGGAUUAGCUAGUUGGUAGGGUAAAAGCCUACCAAGGCGAUGAUCUGUAGCUGGUCUGAGAGGACGGACAGCCACACUGGGACUGAGACACGGCCCAGACUCCUACGGGAGGCAGCAGGUGGGGAAUAUUGGACAAUGGGGGGAACCCUGAUCCAGCGAUGCCGCGUGUGUGAAGAAGGCCUGCGGGUUGUAAAGCACUUUCAGUGGGAAAGAGAAGCGUCUUGUGAAUAAUGGGACGUGGAGACGUUACUCACAGAAGAAGCACCGGCUAACUCUGUG